UGGCACACAUCCAUCCAUCCAUCCAUCCAUCCCACACCACGGUGCCCCCUCCCUCCGCUCCUUCCUCCCAUCAACCCAAACCCUAACUCCCACUCCCAUCGAGACCCCCAUUCAGAUCGCGCCGCCGCCUCCCAGGCACGUCCUUCCUUCCUUCCGCCGCCGCCUCCCAGGCACCUCCUCCCUUCCGCCGCCCAGGCACUUCCUCCUUUCUGUCACCGCCCAGGCACUUCCUCCCUUCCACCGGCCCCUAUCGACCACGGCCCGCGUCAGUCUCGCCGGAGAGAGAGAGGAGAUGCCGCCCAGCAACCACGGCGUCGCGGCUGGCUUGCUCGCCGGCACGCACGUGCGUGCUUCGAUGCGCUGCGCUUCGUCGAGCUGGCCGGACCGCGGCGCGCGCGUGGCCUGCAUAGGGUUUGCGGUGGCGUUGCUCCGAUCCGUCGUCGCUCGAGCACCGGGACGCCAUGUAUGGGAUGGCUGCUUCCUCCCCUGCCCAGACGCCAUGGAGUGGCUAGAUCUGGCCUCGUACGACGACGCCCAGUGAUAAGGGACGGCCUGGCCUACCACCCCGAAGCCAUAGCAAGGCGGGUGAGGGAGGAGUAGACCACAGUCGGAUGGGAGCCAAGAGGGGUCUGAAGCGGUGUCUCCUUCGAGCACCAAGACGGGUCUGCGGUGGAUGCUGGGUUGGAGCUCGGGUCGAUGGCGUGGCCAUGGACACGACCUCCUCGACCUUGACAGCCAACGCAUCGGCAGUGGAACAUCUGAUUCCCGAACCUCUUCUUCUCCUCUUUUAAUUUAAAGUUCUUAUUAGCUUAGUUGUAGAUUUCUAAGCAUGCCAUCUUGUUGUAAUUAAUAUUGUUAGUUUAGUUCCAGAUUUCGGUUGCUACUACUGUUGCAUAAUUGACCCUGAAUAUUCUGUCA